rnacentral:rRNA from 1 species
UGGGGAAUAUUGCACAAUGGGCGAAAGCCUGAUGCAGCAACGCCGCGUGAGUGAUGAAGGUCUUCGGAUUGUAAAGCUCUGUCUUUUGGGACGAUAAUGACGGUACCAAAGGAGGAAGCCACGGCUAACUACGUGCCAGCAGCCGCGGUAAUACGUAGGUGGCGAGCGUUGUCCGGAUUUACUGGGCGUAAAGGGUGCGUAGGCGGAUGUUUAAGUGAGAUGUGAAAUACCCGGGCUUAACUUGGGUGCU